rnacentral:rRNA from 1 species
UACAGAGGCCCCGAGCGUUAGUCGGAAUCACUGGGCGUAAAGGGUGCGUAGGUGGCCAGGUAAGUUUGAUGUGAAAGCUCGGAGCUUAACUCCGAAAUGGCAUUGAAUACUAUCUGGCUUGAGGGUCGGAGGGGAGACUGGAAUUCUCGGUGUAGCAGUGAAAUGCGUAGAUAUCGAGAGGAACACCAGUGGCGAAGGCGGCUCACUGGACCGGAACUGACGCUGAGGCGCGAAAGCGUGGGGAGCAAACAGG